AUUGAACGCUGGCGGCAGGCCUAACACAUGCAAGUCGAGCGGUGCGGCGGACGGGUGAGUAAUGCCUAGGAACCUGCCUGGUACUGGGGGACAACGUCUGGAAACGGGCGCUAACCCCGCAUUCCACCAGAUGAGCCCAGGUCGGAUUCGCUAGUUGUUGGGGUAAAGGCCCACCAUGGCCACGUUCCGUAACUGGUCUGAGAGGAUGCUCAGUCACACUGGAACUGAGACACGGUCCAGGCUCCUACGGGAGGCAGCAGUGAGGAAUAUUGGGCAAUGGGCGAAAGCCUGAUCCAGCCAUACCGCGUGUGUGAAGAAGGUCUUCGGAUUGUAAAGCACUUUAAGUUAGGAGGCAUUACCAACAGAAUAGGCACCGGCUAGCUUCAUGCCAGCAGCCGCGGUAAUAC
rnacentral:rRNA from 1 species